rnacentral:lncRNA from 1 species
UAGCCAAAAUCCCCAAGCAAAGUCCACAAUCAGUGCAUGCCAAGACAUUCAUGAGCACCAGAGCCAAGCUGGCGAGCUAAUUAAAUAUAUAUAUGUAUAUGUUUAAAACAGCCUAAUAAGGAGCAUUGGAAAUCUUCAAGAUGAGCGAAUAUCUUAUAACUUCUUCCGCAGGUGCGAGGAUAGCUACAAGCCAUGGACUUUCUGUCCUGCUUCUUGUUUGUGGCUUUGUGAAGGGUGCUUUGCUUUAAUCUAAAGUGCUGACUUUUUUCCAAUAUCACUUUCUCUUCUUAAAGCAAAGAGCAAAUCGCCUGUAAAAUCUACGGAGCGGACAGCAAAGUUGACCCUAUACUCCAAGCACCAUUCUGCACCCCUGUACUCUAGUUAUCUACACAAGGAGCAUCAGCUUCCGGAAGCAUAAGUGAAGACACUGUCACACGCUUUAUUGAUAAUAUUUUCUUUGGGAAGUUGCUGAUCUUUUAUUUCAAGAGAAUUAAUGGGAAGAGAUAGGACAUUUUCCAAUUACAAGACCAAUUUUUUUCCUUUUAUUUCAACAAAUAAAACCUGCAUUUCACUGACUGCUCAGGAGUUGGCCUGAAUGACAUCAGUAUACUAAAUAUUUCCAUGGAUUCCACCAAUUUCCUAACGAGGGACACCUAAUCUUCAAGAAGCAAACAAAGAUGGAAAACCUAAGAACCACAAACUGUCUCAUACAGCACCCCAGCUGAGGAACAAAACAAAUAGCUAAAUGCUGACCAUGGCAAAUCAACAUCAGACAACUUUAUUUUACAUAUGGAAUAAUCAAAGAAAGUUUUUUUUUACUUCCUUUUUGCCCCCUGGAAUUUAUCUUGGAGUUUCCCUUUUUUCCUUGAUUGCCGUUUUCGUUCAAUGGUAGCAAGUGCCAAUUAUGGCCAAUCCUUGUCAAUCCUGGAAGGUUUAUAUUCAUAUACAUUGAGUGUGGUAUAUAUCAAUGUAUUUUAAUUCAUUUGGCAAUUUCUGUAUAGGCAAACCUGGCAAAUUCUGUAAAUUGCUUAUAGUAUGUGUGAUAUGACUUCAAGGUAGAUAGGCUAUGAUGCUCAUGCAAGCUGACUUUCUUCAUUCUAUAUACAAAUAUAUUCAUGAGCAUAUAUUAGGCCACCAACUUCUUUUCCUAAAGAAUUAUUUUUCAUUUGUACCUCAUGUAUUUUGUGAAUUUUGUAGUAUAUUUCUCUGUUCCACUAGUUUGACCGCUACAGUUUGUCUCUGUUGUCCUCUACUUCCUUCUGGAAAAAUUUAAAAUUGUGUAUGUCUCUGAUAAAUGAAUUAAUUUUGUUGUGUGUAUGCUAUGUUGGAAUUUGCUGUGUUCUUUUAAACAUGUAUUUAUUAAGGUUUGGGGAUCUUGAGUUGAGUCUGAAGAAUGCACACCUGGUUUUUGACAGAGUUCCUCAUGUUACCAAUAUUCUAUCUCAGAGAAAGAAAGACACCAAGUGGGAAAACUAAGAAGACAUUUUGACUUCCCAAGAUCCUGGAAGAGCACUUCACACUCUGACUAAAUAAUGUUGCUUUUUUUGUUCUUCAAGACUUUUUUGUAGCUUUGUCUUUCUGUUAGUUGCUGCUAAUUAUAUUUUAAUGUCUACUAAUUAAAAAUUAAAAUGUGAUUGUUGGCUGAAUACAAUAUGCAAAUGACUGCAAAGCCCAUACUGAAGAAAAUAGAUGUUUAAUCUUCACUCAAUAAUUAUAAUUUUAAAUAGUUCAUCAUUAUUUUUUGACCUUAUGAUAUUUUGUUUAGACCUGUUCUAAUUACAUCUUUCUCUGGCAAAGAAAGAUAGAACAAUCAAUACAUUCCCUCUUACAGUAUGGAAUGGUUGUGGCUUAAGAAAGAAUGCAUCCAGAUGGUCUUCCAGAGAGAUUAUUUUAUUUUCAUUAUAAAACCAGAAACCAUAUAUGUAGGAAUGGUUCAUUCCUAAUGUAAGGCCAUAAAUUGUAGCUUGAAGGCAAGGAAUACAUUUGUUUUUUUAUGGUAAAGGACUGGCCUCUGACAUGCACUUAUAAGCAAUGUGAAUAUUUUCAUAAUAUGCUUGACAUUCUCCUUUAACAAAUAUUGUUUUAUGGUAAAUCUUUCCUUGCCAUUUUCCUUCUUUCAUUUGAUUCAUUAUUUCAUUCUAAUGAAGAAAAUAAAGGUUUAAUUAUGAUACUUUAUUAACAUACAAAUGUAUUUUCUUUCUAAGUUAAAUAUCUGAAAGUUGUAUAAAAUGAUGGUAGAGAAAUAUUACUCAUUCGGUUUCUUUGAGCUUUAAGAAUCCCAUACAUUGCAGUAUAUAUUAGAAUACUGAUUUAACAUCAAACUGGGGGGGAAAAUCAUGUAUUAUACUUUUACUCAAUGUCUAGGUAAUGAAUUCAGCUAAUUUUACAGCAAGCCAAAUGUGUACCCGUAUCAGUAAUGUUCACCAUGCUUGUAAUAAAAGGGUAUAUGCUAGUUUUGGAAGAAUGCUCAUUAGAUUCAUUGUAUCAGUGUCCAAAAUAAUAAAGACCUGUUUAUCACUGUGUGACCAAAGUCCACCCCACCCUCCACUUUGUAAAAAGAAUACCGCAAACCACCUGUUUGCUCCAAACUCCAAAAGAGUAUGGAACUUUAAAUAUUAGAGCAGAAAAUACAGCAGAUCAAUAUGCUUGGAUACUCCAUUAUAUUCCUUUGGGAAUAUAACUUUUUAUGUAACCAUGACAAUGGAAGUGGAUAGAAAUGCAAAGGAGAAGUAUCUGGCUUUCUCAACCUUGUUUUCAAGUUUAUACAGUAUUUUUUUUAUAAGAGAGACUUAUAGAAAGCUGAAAUUGCUUACUUUGUUUCUUAAAGACUUAUAGACAGCCUAAAAAGCAAAGAAAGCAAAUAAAAAUACUCCUGAACAAAG